rnacentral:misc_RNA from 1 species
GGCCACACAAACACACACACACACACACACACGGAAGUGCGCAGCUUUUUCGCUCCCGCUGCUGCUUUUUUAUUGUUGCCCUCCCCCCGCCAUAUGUCCUCUCUCCUUCCUUUGGGCAUGUGGAGGCAGUGACCCAUGAUAAACACCCCGAAGGAUGCGCCGGCGGCCACGCUGCUGCCCUCAAAACUUGAGCCGACAGCGGCAAGUUCUCACCGGGAGAGGAGGGCAGGCGUGUGUCAACGCGGCUGCGCCUCGAGCUGAGCAUGAAAAUGACAAGGCUGAGCAAGGACGAAGAUAAGGAGCAGCUAAACACGACGGUGGUGGUGUUGAACCGGCCGCCGCCGCCGUCGUGGAGGGCGGCAAUCAGCGGACGCCGGUCAAUACUCAUCUCCACGAGGAUACCUUUGUGCGGUACCCACCCACCGUCACCGCCUCUGGCUCCCCUGGGGUACCACAGCUGGGGACUGCGCACGUUGACCGUAGCGCAUUACUGUAACACACGUGCCCAAGGCUGCUUCGCACCGCGCGGAUGGGGCCUGUGACCGGCCGGGGUAGUGUGGCGCUGAGUACAUAUUGGGUGACGGAGGAAUAUCUGGCUCCUCUUAGCGCUCAUCGCACUAUUUUUGUUUUUGCCUUGCUUCACCUUUUCGAACGUGACUUUCCUCCCUGUGUGUGUGUCUUCGCGUGUCUCUAUCUCCCGCUUUCUUGGCUCACUCACACUCUCAUGAACAUAUAUGUAUGCAUGUAUGUUCAUAUGUUAGUUUAGUUUUCUCACAUAUUCGCCUGAGGCUAUUCGUUUUGCUGUCUUCUUCGCACCUGUUCUCUGCAAGCGCGGUGUCUUGUGGGGCAUUCGACUCCCCUCCCGUUCAUAUCCUUCACCUUUUUUUUUUCGAGUUGUUGUACGUUGCUCCCCCUCCCUCCCCCUCUCCCUUUCCUUCUAUUUUCUGCUCGGCUUCUUCUUGCGUUUUUCGACUCGUAAGCAGAUAAACAAAUACAUGUAUCAGCGUGCUUUCCGCUUUUUUGCGUUCUUUCUAGUUGUGUGCUUCGAAGGGUUCCGCUGCUACUAGCCGCUCUCUUUCCCUCUCUCAACGUUUCCCCUCACCCCACAUAAACGCCAUCUUGACUUUUUUCUAGAGUUUGUGCCCCACUUUUGUUCUCUGCUUCGUCUCCGCGUGCGUGCACGUGAUUAUUUAUCUUCGCUUUUCCAUGUCUGCGAAUGGGAGGCGUGCCUACAAGAGGAGAGGGAAACAGGCGUGGGCCUGAAAAGUCACACACACACACACGUAAAUCACUCUGCCAGUGCACGCCAGGAGGGACGUGACGAUGUGUAUUCAUAUAUAUAUUAUGUGUGUAUGCAUUUGUGAGCUUUCUUUACUUCACUGCUGUUUUUAUUGCUGAGGUCGGGGCUGCUGUGUUCUGCGCGCGAGUAGCGUUACUGAGCGUGUGAAUGUUUGUCUCUCGUUCUCACGUUGCAUUCCUCUUUCAUGUUCGCCUUCUUCACCCUUCUCUUCGCGGUUCGGGUGCUGUAGCUCGUGUGUGUAGGUGUGUGUAUGUGUGUGUCUAUGUUCAUGCCUGCAUGCACCGACAGAAACGCACCCGCCAAUGUGCCGCUUCCUCCUCUCCGCACGUGUCCUGCUCACAGGCGCGCUCAGGUGCCCCAUGCGCGAAAGAGGCGAUGGGAGCCUACUCGCACAUGCACCAGCGAGCUACUCGAGAAAGAAAUGCACUGCACACCCACGACAUCGAGGGAUUCCAG